CAGUCGCCGCGGGAAUACGAAGGGUGCAAGCGCUAAUCGGAAUUACUGGGCGUAAAGCGUGCGUAGGCGGUGAGUUAAGUCUGCUGUGAAAUCCCCGGGCUCAACCUGGGAAUGGCAGUGGAUACUGGCUCGCUAGAGUGUGUCAGAGGAUGGUGGAAUUCCCGGUGUAGCGGUGAAAUGCGUAGAGAUCGGGAGGAACAUCAGUGGCGAAGGCGGCCAUCUGGGACAACACUGACGCUGAGGCACGAAAGCGUGGGGAACAAACAGGAUUAGAUACCCUGUAGUCCCUGUCUCUUAUACA
rnacentral:rRNA from 1 species